CAGUGAGUGCAUGCCGACACGCUGGAGC
rnacentral:piRNA from 1 species